GGUAAAGUGGCCGAGUGUUAGGCGGUAAGCUGUAAACUUACUUACAUUGGUUAAACUCCUUUCUUUACUAA
rnacentral:tRNA from 1 species